CUUCCCAAUCUCUCCAAUCCCCUUCUCCUCAAACAAGGGUGUGUUUGAGGAGAAGGGGAUUGGAGAGAUUGGGAAG
rnacentral:pre_miRNA from 1 species